UGGUUUAAUUCGUAAGCAAACGCGAAGAGCCUUACCAGGUCUUGACAUCCCGAUGCUAUUCUAGAGAUAGAAAGUUACUUCGGUACAUCGGUGACAGGUGGUGCAUGGUUGUCGUCAGCUCGUGUCGUGAGAUGUUGGGUUAAGUCCCGCAACGAGCGCAACCCCUAUUGUUAGUUGCCAUCAUUCAGUUGGGCACUCUAGCGAGACUGCCGGUAAUAAACCGGAGGAAGUGGGGAUGACGUCAAAUCAUCAUGCCCCUUAUGACCUGGGCUACACACGUGCUACAAUGGUUGGUACAACGAGUUGCGAGUCGGUGACGGCGAGCUAAUCUCUUAAAGCCAAUCUCAGUUCGGAUUGUAGGCUGCAACUCGCCUACAUGAAGUCGGAAUCGCUAGUAAUCGCGGAUCAGCACGCCGCGGUGAAUACGUUCCCGGGCCUU
rnacentral:rRNA from 1 species